rfam:Gossypium raimondii Chr05_contig_239, whole genome shotgun sequence.
UGUUAAAAUUUUUAUCUAUUUAUACUAUUAAAAACUAGUUUACCUGACAAAAUAAUCAGAUAGUGACACAUGGUGUGCCACGUAUACGUCAUGCUGACAUACAUAGACAAGUUUUAACAGUAAAAAUGGAUGGAAUUUUUAACC